GAUGAACGCUGGCGGCGUGCCUAAUACAUGCAAGUCGAGCGAACAGACGAGGAGCUUGCUCCCCUGACGUUAGCGGCGGACGGGUGAGUAACACGUGGAUAACCUACCUAUAAGACUGGGAUAAUUUCGGGAAACCGGAGCCAAUACCGGAUAAUAUAUUGAACGGCAUGGAUCAAUAGUGAAAGACGGCUUUGCUGUCACUUUUAGAUGGAUCCGCGCCGCAUUAGCUAGUUGGUAAGGUAACGGCUUACCAAGGCAACGAUGCGUAGCCGACCUGAGAGGGUGAUCGGCCACACUGGAACUGAGACACGGUCCAGACUCCUACGGGAGGCAGCAGUAGGGAAUCUUCCGCAAUGGGCGAAAGCCUGACGGAGCAACGCCGCGUGAGUGAUGAAGGUCUUCGGAUCGUAAAACUCUGUUAUUAGGAAAGAACAAAUGUGUAAGUAACUAUGCACGUCUUGACGGUACCUAAUCAGAAAGCCACGGCUAACUACGUG
rnacentral:rRNA from 1 species